rnacentral:rRNA from 1 species
UGCAAGUCGAACGGGACUGGGGGCAACUCCAGUUCAGUGGCGGACGGGUGCGUAACACGUGAGGAACAUGACUUUCGGUGGGGGAUAGCCGGCCCAACGGCCGGGUAAUACCGCGUACGACCUCUCGGGGACAUCCCCGGUUGGUGAAAGCAGCAAUGCGCCGAAAGAGUGCCUCGCGGCCUAUCAGCUAGUUGGUGGGGUAACGGCCCACCAAGGCGACGACGGGUAGCUGGUCUGAGAGGAUGGCCAGCCACAUUGGGACUGAGACACGGCCCAGACUCCUACGGGAGGCAGCAGUGGGGAAUAUUGCGCAAUGGGCGAAAGCCUGACGCAGCGACGCCGCGUGUGGGAUGACGGCCUUCGGGUUGUAAACCACUGUCGGGAGGGACGAAUGCCCCGCAAGGGGAGUGACGGUACCUCCAAAGGAAGCACCGGCUAACUCCGUGCCAGCAGCCGCGGUAAUACGGAGGGUGCGAGCGUUGUCCGGAAUCACUGGGCGUAAAGGGCGCGUAGGCGGCCUGAUAAGUAGGGGGUGAAAUCCUGCGGCUUAACCGCAGGGCUGCCUUCUAAACUGUCGGGCUAGAGCACGGUAGAGGCAGAUGGAAUUCCCGGUGUAGCGGUGGAAUGCGUAGAGAUCGGGAAGAACAUCAGUGGCGAAGGCGGUCUGCUGGGCCGUUGCUGACGCUGAGGCGCGACAGCGUG